UACAUGGGGUGCAAACGUUGCUCGGAAUUAUUGGGCGUAAAGCGCACGUAGGCGGUUCGUUAAGUCGGACGUGAAAGCCCUCGGCUCAACCGAGGAAGUGCACCCGAAACUGGCGAGCUAGAGUACGAAAGAGGGUCGCGGAAUUCCCGGUGUAGAGGUGGAAUGCGUAGAGAUCCGGAAGAACACCGGUGGCGAAGGCGGCCUGCUGGGCAGUUGCUGACACUGAGGCGCGACAGCGUGGGGAGCAAACAGG
rnacentral:rRNA from 1 species